rnacentral:lncRNA from 10 species
UUAUGACUGUUGAGGGUGCCCUACCCCUGCUGUGGGGGCUCCGGAUCCUUAAAAACCUCGGAGGUUUCUGCUGUUGUUAUCAUCAUUAUUAUCCGGGGCUCCGUUCUUUGCAACAUGACAUUCCUUUAUUGUGAUUGUCUUUGGGGAGAGGGUCUUCAGCAUGGCUAGAGGGAGGUUCCGGUCCUUUGCAAUUCUUCGGACUCUUGACAACCGGGGUGACUGGAUUUCUUGUUUUACAUUUUUCUGUCUGCUUUUUUGUUUGUUUGUUUGUUUGUUUGUUUGUUUGUUUUUGCCUCUGUGCAAGCUCGAGGUCCUCUGUUUCCACUUCCCCUGGAGGUGAGAUGUCACCUCCAGGGGGAACUCAUACUCCCAGCCCCCUCCAUCACCAACCCCCUUGCCUAUCCCUGCCACCACCCUUAAAGGUGAGGUCACCCUUCCUCUCUGGCUUAUUCCCCUGAUACAUAGCACCGCACCCUCUUCCCCACUCAAAAAAAGGGGACAUGUUUUUCCUUUUUCUCUGAUCAAAAGAUUUGCUUUUAUGGACAGCAAAUGGAAAUUAUAUUCUUUUUAUGACCCAGCCUAGACUUCUGACAUCACUCUUGGUCUGGGACAAUAGAUCAAUACAGUGGGUUAUAAAAAAGAUAAAGUUUAGAAGAGUUAUAAAGAAGAGAGAAUCAUGAUGGAUAUUUUUGAUGAUUUUCCAAUAUUUGUGUCUCAGAGCACGUGCUUUGAGGCAAUUAAAGUUUUUAAUGUAAUGUAAAUAAUUGUUUCAUAAAUGCUUCGGAAGAAGGUGUGAUCUUUCUGAGCAAUCAUUUGAGCUGUUUAAAAAAUGAAAUGUGAUUUAAACAAGGAUACAGUAUUUCUGUUUCCAUUCCCAUACAUUUUCCAUGAGGUCUGGGUAAAUAUAUUAAUGCAGGAGUUGAAAGACGCGUAAGACCAAAAGUACUGCAUUCACCGAGAUGUAAUGAAUUAGGCCUAGUUAGCAAUUCCGAGUGGCCUGUUUCCCUGCCAGAUUAAAUUGCACGUGAUGUGUGGUUUAUCUCAGCUCUCGAUAACUUCAGGUUUAAAUUACAGCUCUCAUUCUGCAAAAUGAAUUUAGGGAAAUUUCAUAACUAUCACAUUACAAUUUUUUAAAUGGCUACAUUUUUCUCCUGAGCAUCUGUAAAGCUUGUGGCUUCCUUGUCUUUGGGUCUGCUUUUUAAAGUCCUACUAGAGUGCGUGUGAAACCCUUCCAAGCAAUGUUUAACAAGCCAAGGGUUUGAUGAAGAAAAUUAUUUUAAACUUAUGUGUGAUUUUGCAGGAACAGGACGCACUGACAUCGUGUACCUCCUGAUAUGUUGUGCUUGAAGGACAGAUCACUUCUGUGGUAUUCCUGCCAAAGAGGUAUAAUCUAAAUCUAAUUGUGAAGAAAUAUCAGACAACCCCAAAUGGAGGGGAAAAUUCUACAAAAUAAACAGCCUGUUCACUUCAAAAACAUCAGUGGCACAUGAAACACACAAUAAUGGAGGAACUAUUUCCAAUUAAAGGAAACUAAAGAGACUUGACAAGUGAUUAUAACGUACGAUCCUGGAUUUUCUUUUACUAUAAAGUGGAUGAAUUAGAACCAAUGACAAAUUUAAAAUAAAGUCAAUAGAUCAGAUAAUAGUGUUAUAUCGAUGUUAAUUUCCUGAUUUUGACUAUUAUACUGUGGCUAUGUAACAAAAUAUCCUUGUUUUUAGAGAACACACUGAAGUAUUUAGGGAUAAAGGGACAGACAUCAUGUCUCCAACUCUCAAGCAAUGCAGAUGAAAAUAAUAUGUACCUAUUUAUUUAUCUAUAUAUGUCUACCUAGACACAGUGAUAAAGCAAUGUUGCAAAAUGUUAACAUUUGAAGAUUCUAGGUGACUAGUACACAGAAAUUCCUUCUACUUUCUUGGCAAGAUUUCUAGGAAUCUGAAAGUGCAUUAAAAGAAAAAAAUAGAUAAAUCUAGGUCUGACUUUGUUUCACCUGUUAGGGACUACUGGCUUCCAAAUAAAAAUUCGGCACAGGACUUUCUACUUUCCUGACUGAAGUAGGCUGCACCUUUGACCCAGCAGGAAAUUGCCACAGCAAACAUGCUUACCGACGAGCAGCGAGAAAAUCCAAUAAUUCAGAUUGUUUUAAGUCUGUGAUAUUUUUACAUGACUUAAUGCAGUGGGUCUCUGAAGAAUUCCAACAAUUUUAAUGGUAGAAACUUGUAGUCCCACAGAGGAAUGGGUUGCUACAUAAAUACUGAAUGAUCGUGUCUUUCUGUCUGGGCUGAAACAUAUUAGCUUUGCCUAGUGGCUUAUUGCUUUAUUCACAAAAUAAAUUUCAGCCGUCUCUCCCCA